GGGCUCGUAGCAUAACGGAAGUGCAGCCGGCUUCGGACCGGCAGGUUGGGAGUUCGAGUCUCUCCGGGCCCG
rnacentral:tRNA from 1 species